rnacentral:lncRNA from 1 species
GGUGGUGGGUGGGGAGCAGCCUCUGUGGGGCUGGAUGUGCCAGCACAUCCCCUUGGCUGCCUGCACUGUCCUGUGAGCAGCCCAGAGCAGUGGUGCUGGGCCCUGUCCCUGCCACCAUGCUCAGCCCCAAAGGAGGGACAAUUCAGGUGGCACAUGUUGGGGUCAUAUGCCAGGGAGGCUGCCUGGUGCCACAGCCCCAGCCUCUCAGCCCAGCUCUCCUUCUGCUCCCCUGCAGCUGCACCCAGGACAGCAACACCCCCCCCACAAGCAGAUCCCCCACGGGGCCGUCCGACCACCAGCAAUGAGAGACUCUCGGUGCCUGUCAUCAUCUGCAUCAUCCUGGGGGCACUCCUCUGCUUGCUCCUGGCCCUCCUGGCUGGGCAGGUGCGAAGUGCCAGGGCUCGGCGCAGAGGUGGGUCCUUCCCCAGUGGUCCUGGGGGGGAGAUGCCUCCUGGCACGGCUGGGGGUGUUGGUGUCCUGGGGCACAGUAAGAGAGCUGUGUGCUGCCUCCUGCCCCAUGUGCUGCCCCGCUGACUGACAGACCAUGGGGCACCAACAUCGAGGGGUGGAGAGAGCCCAGAGCCUGAGGCAUCAGUUCUGGGGUGAGAAGAGAAAUGUGAGAUCUGGGCUGGGUGAGAAGGGGAGGAUGCACUGCUGGCAGUGCUCUGGGCAGCACUGGCAGGGGGAGCAUGGGGCAGUGGAGUCCAUCACCGUUGUAUCAGCCACCCCCCAGCAGAGCACGGGUUGUGCUAUUGAUGUGUGGGGCAGAGAUGGAGCAGCUCCAUGGGGAAGGGAAAUGAGGGAAUUGGUGCAGGGUCUGCACUGGGACAUGACCCAGGGACGAAAGGGGCACAAGGGCUGUCUCCAAAUGCGAGGCUGACUCUGUCCCAGACCAUCUCUAUGGGGAUGCUGCCCUCCCUGGGGAUGUGGUUGCAGUGCCAACACAACACAGUGAGGCUGUGCUGUGGGGACAGCCCUGUGCUGGCCUAGGGAAUAGGGUGAGGGAGCCCAGUGGGGUCCUCUCUGCCCAUCCCCAGAUCAGCCUUGCCUCUGUCCUCAGGUUCUGGGAGAGCUAGGGAGCCCUUCCCUGAGGCCGUGUACGAGGAGAUCGCUUACAGCCUGGCGUGGGAGAAGCAGGCGAGGUUCAGUCUCUCAGGUGGGUGCAGGUAACCUGCGGGG